ACGACCUUACUUGAACAGGAUCUGUUCUAUAGGCUCGUACCGCUGCAUCCUUUACCAAUAAGGAGGCAAGCACUUCAGUCUGGUUGAUGCAUUCUAACCUCUGGGCCAGAGCGUGAUUAACGGCCUGGAUGAAUCCUGAUGGGAUCAAUCCAAUGGUUGUAGAGGAUCGUUCCUGCCUGGUUCACUUGUGCAGGGCGGCCUAGAGGUUGUCUGACAGACU
rnacentral:snoRNA from 1 species